CCUACGGGUGGCUGCAGUCGGGAAUAUUGCGCAAUGGAGGAAACUCUGACGCAGUGACGCCGCGUGCAGGAAGAAGGUUCUCGGAUUGUAAACCGCCUUUGAUAGGGAAGUAAAACGACAGUACCUGUAGAAUAUGUUCCGGCUAAAUACGUGCCAGUAGCCGCGGUAAUACGUAGGGAGCAAGCGUUAUCCGGAUUUAUUGGGUGUAAAGGGUGCGUAGACGGAGAAGCAAGUUAGUUGUGAAAUCCCUCGGCUUAACUGAGGAACUGCAACUAAAACUACUUCCCUUGAGUACUGGAGAGGAAAGUGGAAUUCCUAGUGUAGCGGUGAAAUGCGUAGAUAUUAGGAGGAACACCAGUGGCGAAGGCGACUUUCUGGACAGUAACUGACGUUGAGGCACGAAAGUGUGGGGAGCAAACAGGAUUAGAUACCCUUGUAGUC
rnacentral:rRNA from 1 species